CAGCAGCAGCCGCGGGAAUACGAAGGGGGCUAGCGUUGCUCGGAAUGACUGGGCGUAAAGGGCGCGUAGGCGGUUUGCACAGUCGGGUGUGAAAUUCCUGGGCUUAACCUGGGGGCUGCAUUCGAGACGUGUAGGCUUGAGUGGGGAAGAGGGUCGUGGAAUUCCCAGUGUAGAGGUGAAAUUCGUAGAUAUUGGGAAGAACACCGGUGGCGAAGGCGGCGACCUGGUCCUUUACUGACGCUGAGGAGCGAAAGCGUGGGGAGCGAACAGGAUUAGAUACCCCUGUAGUCCCUGUCUCUUAUAC
rnacentral:rRNA from 1 species